rnacentral:rRNA from 1 species
UCCCAGCAGUCCAAGUCGCAAUCACUAUUAUUGGGUCUAAAACAUCCGUAGCUUGCUAUGUAAGUCUCUUGUGAAAUCCGGCCUCUUAAGGGUCGAACUGCAAGAGAUACUGCAUGGCUAGAGACCGGGAGACGUAAAGAGUACGGUUAGGGUAGCGGUUAAAUGCGUUGAUAUUAUGGGGAACACCAAAAGCGAAGGCAAUUCACUGGCGCACUCCUGACGCUGAGACACGAAAGCGUGGGUAGCGAAUGGG